rnacentral:lncRNA from 13 species
UGUGUUCUCCUCACAGGUAAACUGCAGAAACCAGACAUUAGUGUCAAUGACGAAUCUUCUCAUGACAUCACUAUUGCCUGUGUACUUCCUGAGUCUGCCAGUGAUGGUCAUAGCUGUAACCUGUACACUGGAGACCAGCCUCAGGCCUACAAAGAGGCUUGGGUGAGGAGAUUUAACGCAGCAUCAUCCAAACUAUUCUGUACCUUCAGUGUUACUAAGAAUGAUCUGUUCAGGCAUCUGCAGUUGGAGAGAGAUGUGAGCUGUGACUAUAGAGUGAACACAGGAUCACACUCUCUGUCUCCCCGCAGUGAUAAAUACAUAAUUACAGGUCAGAAACCAAAUAUUACAGUCAGUCUGAAAGGGAACCUCAUCAUCACCUGUUUAAUUCCUGGCUCUGUCAGUAAUGACACCACCUGUAACCUGUAUGUUGGAGAGAAGAGUAAGUGUCUUUUUAGAGCACAAAUCAGGAAGAAGAAACACAAAGAUUCCGAAUGCUGGUUCUGUCAAUUCUCUGCGGCUGAGAGUGAUCUGAUCAGUUGUCUACAGUCAGUGAGGCGUAAGGAGGUGAGCUGUGACUACAGAGUGAGCUCAGGACCAAACUCUCUCUCUCCACGCAGUGAUUGGAACAGCUUUACAUGUGAGUCAUUAUCUAUCCAAUAAUAAUCUAUCAGUGCAGCAGGUCUUCAUGAUCUGACUCCCCUUACAUUUUUUAGUAUGACUAUAUUCAUUCUGACCCUCCGUCCCUCCAUCCCCCACUCACUCACUCACUCACUCACUCACUCACUCUUCGCUCGCUCCUUCGAGCACAGCACCUUGACAUAUGGAUCUCUACACUGUCUUAUUCUGGGCCAGGUCCCAGGCUGAUCUGGUGUUGAGUCCCAGGUUGUGUAGAUCGUCCCCCAACUGGCCGGACCACCUGGCUCUCGGUCUUCCUCUUGGGUGUGACCAGUUGGGGGAAUGCUCCUUGAGGAUGAGGGCAGGCAGGGAGCUACUGCCACCAAAUAACAUUCUGACCCACAAACUAAAGACCCCAUUCCAACCCCAAAGUGGUUGUAAAUCUAGUGGGAGUUCACAUCAGUUAUCCAACAACUACACAGACAACCUCUACAGCAGGGAGACAAAAGGGGGUUAGCUUUGGUAAUGUGUAAGUGUAGCUGUUGGAAUGUCUUUCUCUGUAGUUCAUUGUGUUGAAGAUGGAGGAUGUUGUUAAGAAAACUUUACAGUAGAAACUUUAUGUAAUUUGUUCAUAGAUAUGAAACCAGUCUCAUCACCAACCCCUGGAAUCAUUUCCACAAGAAUUACAAAUUAAUUUUUUAACUGGUUCAGUGUUUAGAUCAUGUCUGUACACUGUUAAGCUUCAGCUGUUAGUUACAUGGGGACCUUAUUCUAGGAAGCUGAUAACAACAAUCAACACCUUAUCUGUCCUGAAAGACUUGAUCACCUUAUGAAUUGGUCUCAUCAUCUCUAUAAUGAGGAGAAAUAUAAUCUACCAGGGCAGGAAGCAAUCUGUCCGUAGUGAUUUUAUAGUCCUUCUUUUCCCACUUUGAAUAGACAAGUCAUGAAGGUAUUUCAAAGGCCAACAACACCAUGAUGAUCAUUAAUACAAUCAUCAAUAAAAUGCUAAUUUCAUUAAUGUGUUUUCUCAGUUAGUUUGACUCCAGGUCCUAGAUCUACUUUGCCUCCCAGCACGACAGCGAGUCCUACAGAAGGUGUGUUGGGCCUCUAAAUGAUAAUCUCUGCAAAUACCAAUUGUAGUCAAGGGUUUAGAUUAAUGCUUUAUUUUAUUCUUGUGUCAUCAUAUUGCCUCCCACUAGUUUUGACUGUUACUUCUACUUUGAUCCUAGACACCACAGUGAGACCAACUACCAGUAAGUAGAUCCACUCAUUUUAACUGACAUGUAUAAUUUUGUUUACAUUAAUUCACUAAA